AAGGAUUUAAGUUAAACGAAAACUUGCAGCCUUCAAAGCUUCGAAUAAAGAGCUUGUCUUUAAGCCUUA
rnacentral:tRNA from 1 species